rnacentral:lncRNA from 1 species
CGGCUGCAAGCCCGCGGUCUCUUGUUGCUGUGCUAACGACCGUUGGAACCCUCUUUCUGGCUCUUGGAACGCUCGGCUCUGAGAGGCUCCAGGUUUCUCCGCCAGAGCUCCUGUCGCUCUGUCAGUUGCGCUGUGUUCCUCUCUAGUCACAAGAGCCUUGGGGAAGACAGUUGGAAGCUCAGACAUGGGAAGAAAUGGAAAGACCAGAACAUUGAAAAUGAGUACAAAA